rnacentral:rRNA from 1 species
UACAGAGGGUGCGAGCGUUAAUCGGAGUUACUGGGCGUAAAGGGCGCGUAGGCGGUUAAUUAAGUGAGAUGUGAAAUUCCUGGGCUUAACCUAGGGUGGUCAUCUUAAACUGAUUGACUGGAGUAAUGUAGAGGGUGGGGGAAUUUCCGGUGUAGCGGUGAAAUGCGUAGAGAUCGGAAGGAACACCAGUGGCGAAGGCGCCCACCUGGACAGAUACUGACGCUGAGGCGCGAGAGCGUGGGGAGCAAACAGG